rnacentral:lncRNA from 1 species
CUGGUAACGGCUGGUGACCCAGAUCAGCGGUCCGGACCGUUUGCUCUCCCUUGUUCUGGGGGCGUAGGGAAGAGAGCUCCGCAGUCGCCUCGCUUCUUCGGAGCCACGGGUCCCACUACGCACUCGACCCCUUUAACACUCAAACCUGAAUCUCAAAUCGCUCCUUCCAACUCCGGACCAGGACGCACUCCUCAACCCGACCGAUUUCCACGCACCCGUUUCCCCUUCUCCGGAGGUGGUUCCCACGCCAGUCCACCGAGCACGGCGCUUCUUGGGAAAGGCCUGUUCCCUCCCCCACCCCACCGCGGCCGCCUAGCAACUUCAAGUUUUCGUGCUCCCAAAUGCAGACACCAUCCCUUCCCGGACAGCUCCCUCCACCGCUGCCCCUGCCCCGCUGAUUCCCUGCGCUUCAAGUCCUGCUGCCAAGCCGCCUCCUAGUGCCUUGAUUUUUCCAAAUCUCUACCGACUCUGCCUACCCUCCAAAAUUACUUUUCUCCCUCACGCCCCCCCCGGGGGGGGGUUCAUUGGGCAAACUUUUAAAUUCCACUAUUUGGGGUAAGUAGUGAAC